rnacentral:rRNA from 1 species
UGUAUAGCGAAAGCUAGUUGCAUUAACUAACUGUUAAUGCAGCAACGACUAUGUCGUGUAAAGUUCCGGGUAGUGUUUUGAUAAUGACAUUUCCUACCUGUGUGUCUCGACCAAAUUACGUGCCAGCAGUCGCGGUAAUACGUUGGAGACUAGUGUUAGUCGUCUUUAGUAGGUUUAAAGGGUACCUAGACGGUCAUAACAGCCCCGAAAGGGUACUGUUAGUACUAGAGUUUUAUGAGAGAGGGGGUGUACUAAUGGUGUAGAGAUGAAAUUCUGUCAUACCAUUAUGAACAGGCAACAGCGAAGGCAACCCUUUAUGUGUAAACUGACGUUGAAGGACGAAGGCUUGGUCAACCAACAGGAUUAGAUACCCUAGCAGUCCAAGCAGAAAAUGAUGAAUGUCAUAGACUGAUUAUUAAAAUCUGUGUAUAAAUUAAAGUGUAAGCAUUCCACCUCAAGAGUAACGUGGCAACACGGAAACUGAAAUCAUUAGACCGUUUCUGAAACCAGUAGUGAAGUAUGUUGUUUAAUUUGAUGAUCCGCAAAACACCUUACCACAAUUUGUAUGUUUAGAAAUAAACACAAGAGUUGCACGGCUGUCUUCAGUUAAUGUCGUGAGAUUUUGGUUAGUUCCAUUAAAUUAACGUAAACCCUUACUUUAUUUUAGUAGAUAGAGUAGUUCACCACUAUAUUGGAUAUGAUAAAAGGGACUAAGACAAGUCAUCAUGGCCCGAAUAUUGUGGGCUAUAGACGUGCCACAUACCCCCUAUACAAAGGGAUGCGAAAUUGUGAAA